rfam:Oryza punctata chromosome 1, whole genome shotgun sequence.
AAUAAGUGCAGUUUUGCAUUGUUAAUAUCCAAAGUUUGAUCGUCCGUCUUAUUUGUGAUUAUUAUUUUUGUUGUUAUUAGAUGAUAAAAUAUGAAUAGUACUUUAUGUGUGACUAUUUUUAAAAAAAAUUUCAUAAAUUUUUUAAAUAGGAAGGACGGUCGAACGUUGGAUACGGAUAUCCAUAGCUGCGUUUAUU